rnacentral:lncRNA from 1 species
UCUCCCUCCUACUGUGGAGGCUGAGAGCCUGGGCAGAAAUGAAAUCAUCUGUGUAUACAAAGGCUUUAUAUACAGACAUGCUCAUGGAUGCUGUCUAGACCUGGCCAGACCUGGAUCCCACCCAAAUGCUCAUCUACAGUGCAUAGCUUAUUUGCCAAGAAGGAUGGAAUGAAUGUAAAACUUCAGACUCUAAGUUCAAGAGAAGAAAGCGGUAAUGUCGUCAGAGUUAAAGUUUAGGAAGAGAAGAAAGACCCACCUGGUGCUUAGCUCAUCAGCAUUGCCAUUACAAAAAUGACAGAAGAACAGAAAAUAUUUGCAAUACGUAUAGUUGACUCAUCUCUAGAUUAUACAAAGAUUAUUUGGAACUUAUUAGUAAGGAAAGAAAUACUCCCAAAACAAUUAGAUAUUCAUAUGUUUGUAUGUAUAUAUGUAUGUAGUUAUCUUCAUAUAUAUCCAUUCAUAUACCUAUAUGAAUGCAUAAUAAGCCCAUUGA